UUGCUUUCUUUGCUGGCGACCGGCGCACGGGUGAGUAACACGUAUCCAACCUGCCCUUUACUCGGGGAUAGCCUUUCGAAAGAAAGAUUAAUACCCGAUAGUAUAAUGAUUCCGCAUGGUUUCAUUAUUAAAGGAUUCCGGUAAAGGAUGGGGAUGCGUUCCAUUAGGUUGUUGGUGAGGUAACGGCUCACCAAGCCUUCGAUGGAUAGGGGUUCUGAGAGGAAGGUCCCCCACAUUGGAACUGAGACACGGUCCAAACUCCUACCGGGAGGCAGCAUG
rnacentral:rRNA from 1 species